ensembl:lncRNA
CGGUACCUAAAGAAAUAGCACUACAUCACUGACUAUAAUUGGUUGAAUCUGUAAUGCCACUAUAGUUACACAUCUUUGUUUUGAAUUUUACUUACUUUUUGUAAAGACUGAAAAGUCUCAUCAUAAAAGUAUUUUGUUAAAACUGACUACCUGUCUCUUUACUGGACAUAAUACGUUCCUAUGGGAUUUUACCUAAAGUGACGUGUUCAGGGCAGAUUUUCUGUCAUUUUUCUUAAAAUUGAAACAGAACAGAAUAUCAUGCUAGUUGGUGCUAGUUCCGGGACGGAAACAUUAGCCAGGAGUAGUCAACCCGGGUUGCGGUUAGCUAGCUGUGAUGAUCCAGAUGAAAAGGUUCAGAGUUUGUGGUAGGAAUUUGGGGAUAUGGAGAGAAAAAUAGGUCCUGUGUGCUCUGGUUUGAAACGCGUUGUAUGAACUGGCGAGAGCUUUCCGAGCUUAAGGUUAGCUGAUGACCGCUAGCAGUGGUUAGCUGACUGAUAGCUGGUAGCUAGCUUCAGUUGAGGUAUUCCAGUUCGAGGUAAAUACAAAUACUUUAGGGAAAAAACAAAACAGAUCCACACCACAUUGGGUGAGGCGGGUUGCAGGAGAGUAUUUUGAAGUUGAGGUUUAGGAAAAAUAUUAAAAAGAACGCGAAGAAAAAGAUAUAUACACAUGGGACGAGACAAGACAAAGACAAGGACGUCUGACUGCUACGCCAUCUUGGAUUGCAAGGAAAGCUGGAAUCCAACUUUUGAAAGUUGGAUCCUUUUAUCCUUUUGAGGCUUUCGUACAAUAUGAUUUUGAGCAUUUAAAGCCACUGGGAAACGUCCAUGGCAGGCAUUGUUGUCACUUUAGCUUCCUACAUAACUUCUGAGUGAUAGAAAGCACAAGUACCACCACCAAUCAGCCUACACCACUGCACACACACCCGUCGUUACUAUGACAACUAGUGUAGACAUUUCAGCAAAUGACUGCUGUCUGAACACACGUGAAUCUGAUUUGGUCACUUGUAACUUGCUGUUUGGACAGUCAAUAUUCUAAAACAGAGUUGAAAAACCAAACUGAUUUGAGCAUUAAAGGCCUGCAGUGUGAACAAGGCUUUAGACAAAAGCAGAAGUGCUGACACAUACCAUUGGCAGUACAGUACAGUACAGCACAGGCCUGCAGUGUGAACAAGGCUUUAGUCUCACAUCGACCUCUACAUGCAACAGCAUUAUUAUACAACUCGAACCAGUAGUCCUUCCAGAAGAUCAGUAACUCUAGCAGAGGUCCAGUAGUUCUUCCCUAAGAGCAGUAACUCUAGCAGAGGUCCAAUAGUGCUUCCAGAAGAGCAGUAACUCUAGCAGAAGUCCAAUAGUCCUUCCAGAAGAGCAGUAACUCUAGCAGAAGUCCAGUAGUCCUUCCAGAAGAGCAGUAAUUCUAGCAGAGGUCCAAUAGUACUUCCAGAAGAGCAGUAACUCUAGCAGAAGUCCAAUAGUCCUUCCAGAAGAGCAGUAACUCUAGCAGAAGUCCAGUAGUCCUUCCAGAAGAGCAGUAAUUCUAGCAGAGGUCCAAUAGUCCUUCCCGAAGAGCAGUAACUCUAGCAGAGGUCAAAUAGUUAUUCCAGAAGAGCAGUAACUCUAGCAGAGGUCCAAUAGUCCUUCCAGAAGAGCAGUAACUCUAGCAGAGGUCCAAUAGUCCUUCCAGAAGAGCAGUAACUCUAGCAGAGGUCAAAUAGUUAUUCCAGAAGAGCAGUAACUCUAGCAGAGGUCCAAUAGUCCUUCCAGAAGAGCAGUAACUCUAGCAGAGGUCCAAUAGUCCUUCCAGAAGAGCAGUAACUCUAGUAGAGGUGAUGAAGUCUCCAUGUUGGUUUAACUGUAAAAGGACUUUCUCAGUACAUCUGCUGAGCUUUCUACCAGCACUCUUAAAAGUUCUUCACAACUUGUUUUUGCCUCAGAACUAACACUCUUGAUUAAAAUAAUAAAGUUAUCAUCAAGCAUUUGAUUUGAAUCAUGUGUAUUAGUCCAGCCCUUUGGGUUCCCAGGAUCAGGAUUAGAGCCAGGACCAGGAUUAGAACCAGGAUCAGGAUUAGAGCCAGGACCAGGAUUAGAACCAGGAUCGGGAUUAGAACCAGGAUCAGGAUUAGAACCAGGACCAGGAUUAGAACCAGGAUCAGGAUUAGAACCAGGACCAGGAUUAGAACCAGGAUCGGGAUUAGAACCAGGAUCAGGAUUAGAACCAGGACCAGGAUUAGAAC